AUUCGGUCAGCAUGAGUAUACAGAGUUGUACAACGGUAGUGAGGCCACGGCGUCUACAGCUGUACUGAAGCUAUCAUCAGCAGACAACCAUCGCUCCCUUCCAUGCCUAGAAUCUCUAAGUAUACAGAGUUGCGAUCGUUUGUCAGAGGUUGCCAAUCUUCCUCCGUCUAUCAAGACCUUGGACAUUUUUUGGCUGCGGCAACCUUCAAUCCCUAUUAGGAAAGCUAGAUGUCGUCCAAAAAUUAAAUAUUACCUCAUGUAGACGGUUGGAGUCACUGGAAUCUUGCGUAGGAGAGCUCCGAUCUCUGGAAGAACUCAGGCUUCUUCAUUGCAGAAGCCUGGUGUCCUUACCGGAUGGGCCUCAAGCAUACUCAUCUCUUAGAGUUCUUCAGAUUCAAGAUUGUGAUGGUAUAAAGUUGCUUCCGCGGAGCCUACGGAGCCGUUUGGAUUGCCUCGAGGAGAAACAUCUAGAUGCCCGUUACGAAGAAACGACUUGGAAACGUGCAAUUAGGACGCUGGCGUGCUCGAAAUAGCAGAUUGAGGACCUAAUAAAGAAAGUUACCAUCAGUUUUUCUUUUUGAGGGGAUAUCACCAAGGAUCGUUAUUACCAGACCUGUGACCGUGGUAGAAGGUAUAACAUACAUUUACUGAAGAUAAUCUCCAGUGAACUCCAUCGGAAGUCCAAGAUUUUAAGCAGCAAACAAGUCCCAGAACGCAAGCUGAAGAAUUUAGCACAUGGAGCUCCGUACUCGAGUCCUUUAUCCUUCUGCAAGCUGAAGUCCUUUAUUUUGAGCAGAAAAACAAGUCCCAGAGUUCAAUCCGAAGAAUUAUAGAAUACCGAGCUCCAUGAUCCAGCUUUUUAUCCUUCUCUUUUCUUUUGAACUGUGACGUGUUUGAAUUCGUGCCUGCUCCAGCACAAGCGAAACACAGCUAGGGCUUCCAUUUCGUGAUGUGCUUUUUCUACAUGACUGCAGAAGAUAAUUGCCAAAUCAAUAGUCGAACAUGUUCAUGUUGUUGUUCGACAGGCUGUUGUUUAAGCUGCUGCUUGAUAUGCACUGAAAGUGCUGAACUUUGUCCCAA